rnacentral:rRNA from 1 species
AGAGUUUGAUCAUGGCUCAGAGCGAACGCUGGCGGCAGGCCUAACACAUGCAAGUCGAACGGACCUUUCGGGGUUAGUGGCGGACGGGUGAGUAACACGUGGGAACGUGCCUUUUGGUUCGGAAUAGCUCCUGGAAACGGGUGGUAAUGCCGAAUGUGCCCUUCGGGGGAAAGAUUUAUCGCCAUUAGAGCGGCCCGCGUCUGAUUAGCUAGUUGGUGAGGUAAAGGCUCACCAAGGCUACGAUCAGUAGCUGGUCUGAGAGGAUGACCAGCCACAUUGGGACUGAGACACGGCCCAAACUCCUACGGGAGGCAGCAGUGGGGAAUCUUGCGCAAUGGGCGAAAGCCUGACGCAGCCAUGCCGCGUGUAUGAUGAAGGUCUUAGGAUUGUAAAAUACUUUCACCGGUGAAGAUAAUGACUGUAGCCGGAGAAGAAGCCCCGGCUAACUUCGUGCCAGCAGCCGCGGUAAUACGAAGGGGGCUAGCGUUGCUCGGAAUUACUGGGCGUAAAGGGAGCGUAGGCGGACAUUUAAGUCAGGGGUGAAAUCCCAGAGCUCAACUCUGGAACUGCCUUUGAUACUGGGUGUCUUGAGUGUGAGAGAGGUAUGUGGAACUCCGAGUGUAGAGGUGAAAUUCGUA